AAACUGCUGCAUACACCCUGACUCUGCUAGCACUGAACGCAAGAGAAGUGACACCAUUUCCCUAGUUAAUAUUGCUUGUUAACAUGAAGUUCUUUUAACUACAUAUGCAGGUUUAAAAAAAUACUUCUGUGUAUUGAUUUUAAGGAAGGCAUUGAUGUUUAUGGUUGGGUACAUUUGUGCAACAAUUGUGCUUUUUUUCGCGAAUGUGCUUUUGUUAAAUCAUUGCCCGUUUGGCAAAGUUGAAGUAGGCUGUGAUUCGAUGAUAAAUUAACAGGUACCGCAUUGAUUAUAUGCAACGCAGGACAAGCUAGUUAACCUAGUAAUAUCAUCAACCAUGUAUAGUUAACUAGUGAUUAUGUAAAGAUGUAUUGUUUUUUCUAAGGUAAGUUUAAUGCUAGCUAGCAACUUACCUUGGCUCCUUGCAGCCACCAGGUCCUUUUGACGCUGCACUCGAGUAACAGGUGGUCAGCCUGCCACGCAGUUUCCUCGCGGAUUGCAACGUAAUCGGCCAUAAUCGGCAUCCAAAUAGUCCGAUUACCGAUUUGUUAUGAAAACUUGAAUUCGGCCCAAAUUAAUCGGCCAUGCAAAUUAAUCGGUUGAUCUCUAGUUUAAUGCCAGUGCCAGGUCAUUGGUAAAAAUACACCUGUUUGUUGUUGGCAUUUCCUGCAAAAGUUUGUAAUUAAUGAAAUAAUUGCCAUCUGAUUUGAUGAAAGAUGGAAUUGAAUUUCUGCCCAUAAUAUAAUUUAUAGUUUUAAGUUUUUUCCCAUUUUUCUUUAUCAUUGUCAUAUCUUGGCUUCAUAAUACAGUUUCUUAUUUUUGUUGAGUUUAGUCACAUAAUUUGCAUUUAGUCAGCCAGUCAGAUGUACAGCCAGACUUAUUAGCCACUCUUUUUGCCCCAUCUUUCAACUACACAGACAUAUGAGUCACAGCUAAAUCUUUUGUAUGAUCUCUCAUACACUAUGUUAGGCCCAGCUGUUGGAACUUUGUCUUUCCUGGAUAUGGCCACUAUAAUUGUGAUCACUGCAUCCAAUGGGUACGGAUACAACUUUAGAACAAAAUUCUACAGUAUUAGUAAAAAUGUGAUCAAUACAUGUGGAUGAUCUUGUUCCUGUAGUGUUUGUAAACACCCUGGUAGGUUGGUUAAUAACCUGAACCAGAUUACAGGCACUGGUUACAGUGAGAGGCUUCCUCUUGAGCGGACAGCUUGAUGAAAACCAGUCAAUACUCAGGUCCCCAAGAAAGUAGACCUCUCUGUUUACAUCACAUACACUAUCAAGCAUUUCACACAUAUUAUUUAGAUACUGACUGUUAGCACUUGGUUGCCUAUAGCAACACCCUUAAAGAAAAGGCUUUGCCAAUAAGAUCUCCUCUGAGCAUUACAGGGAUGUGGCUCUGAAUAUUCAGUUGAAGUCAGAAGUUUACAUACUCCUUAGCCAAAUACAUUUAAACUCAGUUUUUCACAAUUCCUGACAUUUAAUCCCAGUAAAAAUUCCCUGUCUUAGGUCAGUUAGGAUCACCACUUUAUUUUAAGAAUGUGAAACGUCAGAAUAAUAGUAGAGAGAAUGAUUUAUUUCAGCUUUUAUUUCUUUCAUCACAUUCCCAGGGGGUCAGAAGUUUACAUACACUCAAUUAGUAUUCGGUAGCAUUGCCUUUAAAAUUGUUUAACUUGGGUCAAACGUUUCGGGUAGCCUUCCACAAGCUUCCCACAAUAAGUUGGGUGAAUUUUGGCCCAAUCCUCCUGACAGAGCUGGUGUAACUGAGUCAGGUUUGUAGGCCUCCUUGCUCGCACACGCUUUUUCAGUUCUGCCCACAAAUGUUCUAUUGGGUUGAGGUCAAGGCUUUGUGAUGGCCACUCCAAUACCUUGACUUUGCUGUCCUUAAGCCAUUUUGCCACAACUUUGGAAGUAUGCUUGGGGUCAUUGUCCAUUUGGAAGACCCAUUUGCGACCAAGCUUUAACUUCCUGACUGAUGUCUUGAAAUGUUGCUUCAAUAUAUCCAUAUCAUUUUCCUCCCUCAUGAUCCCAUCUAUUUUGUGAAGUGCACCAGUCCUGUGUGCUGCGGGGUUGAAGCUAUGAACCCAUAGGCUUGGCGCUCUCAUCCCUUCCAGGAGGGAGGGUGUUCUAUGAGCCUGUCAUAGCAGAUGUAAGCAAUGUCCCCACGCGCUCUGUCAGCUUUCAUGGCUGGGAUCAGUUCUUUCCUCUUCUGGGGCACAGCUUCAAGAUAGUCCUCGUUGAGGAAGAUGAACCGUCCUCUCAAGUUAUUGGCUCUUUCAAGAGCCUUGGUCUGUCACCUGGACCGGUGGCCGGGGGCGGUGGUGGGUUUUCCAGUCCUGUGGGCCGCGAUCCACCGCGAUCCACCUCAAUCUUCUUGUGGUGCAUCUUCAAUUUCUCAGAGAUCAUUUCCCUCACAUUGUCCUCAGACUCCGUCCAAGUCUCAUUUGGAGAUUCUGCAAUUCCGUCCACAGCCAUGUUGUUCCGUCUUGAUUGUCCCUUGAGAUGAUCUGAUUUCUCCAUCAUUGUUGUCAUGGAUUCACACACAGAACUGUUCCUCAGGUCCUGAACCUCUCCGGUCAGGUCGUCCAUUUUUUUAUUAGUUGAAUCCACCAGUAUUUGGACAAAACACUUGAAAAUAUUUUCUUGUUGUAACAGCUGCUUUUAGAACUCUCUUUGUUCGUGUUUAAAAGAUCCUUCACCUGUGGUUUAGAGACGCCACUGUCCUUAACGGUAGUCCCGCCAGCUUUGGUCUUUGUCAUGGCAGCAAUGUAGGUUACGCUGUUACUCCUCUCAGUUCCAGACAGGGCAGGUCUCAGGGAAGAUUGAAAAUAACAACAACAAAUAGCAGGGCUCUAGACAGCAACAGGCCCAGGAGAGUCCGCUGUCCCAGCCAUAAUGGAUAACAGCGUUGCAGGCUGCAUUCAGGCCCUCAACACUGCUAGCUUGAUAGCCUACUGAUGCUGACUGCGUCUGUGUUCCGUCCACAUUUUCCACAAUGCAGAUUUUAUAGGCCCCUAAUAUAAUACAGGUUUUAUAGGCCCCUAAUAUAAUGCAGGUUUUAUAGGCCCCUAAUAUAAUGCAGGUUUUAUAGGCCCCUAAUAUAAUGCAGGUUUUAUAGGCCCCUAAUAUAAUGCAGGUUUUAUAGGCCCCUAAUAUAAUGCAGGUGUGUUAUCGCUGUGGCAAGGCCGGUGAUUAUAUUCUUAAUUGUUACUGUUAUAAUGCUUUCCAGGUCUGUUAUAACUGUGGCAAGGCCGGGGUGUUAUGUCAUUGUGUUACUGUUAUCAUGUUAUAAUGCUAUACAGGUCUGUUAUAACUGUGGCAAGGCCGGCCAUGUGGCCCGGGACUGUGACCAUGCCAACGAGCAGAAGUGCUACUCCUGUGGAGGCUUCGGACACAUCCAGAAGGGCUGUGACAAGGUCAAAUGUUACAGGUGAGUUAACACACACCCAGAAGGGCUGUGACAAGGUCAAAUGUUACAGGUGAGUUAACACAUCCAGAAGGGCUGUGACCAGGUCAAAUGUUACAGGUGAGUUAUCACACAUCCAGAAGGGCUGUGACCAGGUCAAAUGUUACAGGUGAGUUAUCACACAUCCAGAAGGGCUGUGACAAGGUCAAAUGUUACAGGUGAGUUAUCACACAUCCAGAAGGGCUGUGACAAGGUCAAAUGUUACAGGUGAGUUAACACAUCCAGAAGGGCUGUGACCAGGUCAAAUGUUACAGGUGAGUUAACACACAUCCAGAAGGGCUGUGAGAACAUAUUGUUUUGUUACAAGGUGUACUGGCCAGUGUAUCGUUAAGCUGCUUCCCUGUGAUAUGUUUGAGUUGUGGCAGCCCUGAACAGCUUUAUAAAUGGACAUCAAGAAUCAGGUGUGU
rnacentral:lncRNA from 1 species